GCGAGAGCGAGAGGGAUGCUUCGCAGGACUGUGAGCAGCCGCAAUGGCGCCCCCAAGGACAUCGCCGCUUCGUCGGUCAAUAUCGCUUUUGUUCGUUGCGUACAUCGCGCGAUUUUCAUAUUUGCAUUGCGAAUAUUAACUUUUUGAUCAAAUUUGCUGGCAACGUUGGGAGUGUCGUUUAAAGUGUCGUACGAUUUUUAUAUUCGAGAACGCACGCGUGCAAUGCGUGCAUCGCGUGUGAGUACAUUAAAAAACUGCUGCAAAAACGCAUAUGGAAUUUGCGCGUUACGUUGCCUUCAUUUUUCAGUUGAAUUUAUUGACGACGUCGAAAGUGCUGUUGAAAGUAAGAUCGUGCGAUUCUUGUAUUCGGAAAUGCACGCGUGCAAUGCGUGCGUCGUGUGUCGCGAGUGAAUUUCUUGAAGAUCACUGAUUGUGAGAGGAGGAGGAGGCUCAGGAGGAGCAUCAGACGCCGGCGGAGCAACUUUAGGAUCAACUUUGCAGAACAGAACAACUCCGCUGUUGCGCAUCAUAUCGAUCUCGCAGACCGCCGUCACAGGAGACGCACGUGCGUGAAACAUCCCGUGAAGCUGCUAAUAGUCGCCUAAACGGUCGGCACCGUCGCCCUCGGCCGUCGCUAUAUGUCACCGCUGCCUUCUACUUACACGCAUCGCCACGCACGAUGCACGUGCGUGUGAAUCUCCGCACUUCUCCAAGCGCUUCUGACAAGCUAAGUCUCAUGAUCCUUUUUUCUCACGUUCGUCCCGACGAGUCGCGUGAAUCCGAAAAGUAAAGGAUUGAAAAGGCUCGCUUGAAAUUGCAGCAAUAUAAUUCUAAUGAAAACUACGAUACGUGAAAAGUUUUUAUUUUUCAUAUAUCAAUUUUAUGUUAUGAAUCUUAAACCACCGUCGUUUUCGUUUCGUUUCUUUACUUUCGCCGUUCUUCGACGUCCACUCGUUUCUCGCAAUUAUAAAUCCAGCAACUGGCAAAAUUUAUUUGCAGUCUCUAGGAGAAACGCUACACCCGAACGUCAUCGACGUGCUCCUUCGCGCGAUUCCCGAGUCAGAAAAUAAAAUGCACGUGCUAUUCCCGCUCUGAUGCACGCACGGUGUUGACGCGCGCUCACCCGUACCGUUCUAGAUUUUACGGGGAAUAUUAAAGCCCACGGCGCACGGCUUGUUUGCAAAACAUCGUGCUCGUAAACAUUCGCCGGCCAUUGGUCCAGUUCGACCUCUUCGACACCCUGCGCCGUAGAAUUCUACUAGGAUGCAACGACCAACCCGCGUAGAAGCUAUUUUCAAUCAACCAUUUCUUUUCUCUCUCUUUUUUUUUCAGCAAAUUGAUUAUUUCGAUAAUAUUUUGCGAUACAUGCGCGCGCGCGCGCGUGAGACGUUAGAAUUAAAAUAAAAUUAUGUUUGC